UGUUUUCCAGUUUCCAGAGUCGGGGUCGUCCCAAAACUUCGUUGCGCUGAGCGUAGAAUCUCGCCUCAAACAAAACUACGUAGCUUCUAAUUCCCACCUUUCAUCCCUGAAUUCGAUUUCAUCUUCGUCUUCUCCUCUGGUUUCGAUCAAACCCGUCCGAGCGCAGGGUUUGUUUCUCGAGGCGGUGUCGGUAAGGGAGAAGAGCGAAAUUGAAAAGACGGGGGGAGAAACAAACCCUAAACAAUGCUUCUAAGGUUUCGAAUUCGGACAACAUCUACUACUACAAUCAGCUGAACGUGACUCUUGCAUCGAAAGGAGAUGACCGAUAACAAUGGCAAACCGGAUAAGGGUAAUCAAUGGCAAUCGUCAACACCACCGCAUCAAGAGAAAGCGGAGGACUUGAAACUCUGGGCAAUUCUACUUUUCGGUUUAAUCGGUGCCUCUGCCACCACUCUCGCCAUUGGUCAUCUGCGGAGAACUGGUGAUUGGGUAUAUACUCAGUUGAGCAGGUCACAAUCAUCACAGGGUGGAGGAAGUGGUCGUUCUUUCCGGUCAUCGUUUCAGGAGGAAGCAUGGAAAAGGUAUAAUCGUAGGCUGCAAGAGGAAUAUGAAGAAGAAAUGGAGAGGGUGGAGCGCAUAAGGCGCAUGCAGAAUGUAUUCAACAGAGAGAGGAACAAACACAAGAGAGGCUACGAAAGGUGGGGAGAGAAUGGUGGUGGUGCGUUUCAUCAACAUCACCAGCGAGAUGAUUGGUAUUGGAAAGCCGAGACGUUCUACAGAGAACAAAGUAAUAACUAUAAGGAAACUCCAAGAGACAGAACAAGCUACUUGCUAUCGCAUCAUUAUACAGUUUUGGGUCUCAACAGGUGUCGAAAAACACCUUAUACAGAUGCUGAGAUUAAGACAGCAUUCCAAUCCAAGGCGAAGCAGUUUCAUCCAGAUCAGAACCAGGAUAAUAAAGAGGCUGCUGAGGCAAAGUUCAAAGAGGUGAUGACAUCUUAUGAGGCCAUAAAGUUAGAAAGAAAGAGCGGUUGAGCAUAAGACUUGACCACACCUCUAGUCGACGGGUCAGAGUUUCAGCACACCAUUUUAACAGUACGACAUAUUUGUGGUUUUUUUGUUGAAAUUCCCCCUCGUUAAUCGUGUAAAUUAUUAAGAGGAAUUGAGUUUCUUGUAGUGUUAUGGCAACAUUAAAGUGGGUAUUAAUAUGAAGGGUUAAAAUAUUGAUGUUGGACUACGAA